rnacentral:rRNA from 1 species
AUCUGGGCGGCGGAAUUCAAGACGGCUGGCGGGUUUCGCGCUCGUUCGGCCGUUUGAUAUUUCCGUCGCCGAUGUCAGACGUCGCGACCUGUUUGUCGUCGGUCCUUGCUCGGAGGAAUUGCGAUCGAGUUCGUUGCGGGCGCGUUUCGGCGUGCUUCGCGGCGAAGACGCGACUCUCUGGCCGACGACGGACAGUAAGCAACGGUGUCUGGCGCCGUGUCUCGCACUCGGCGUCGGUGCCGGUCAGCGACGAUUUCUUCGGGCCUCUUUCCGACCCGUCUUGAAACACGGACCAAGGAGUCUAACAUGCGCGCGAGUCGCGGGGUUUCGAGCGUACCACGGUGCGCUCGUUACUUCCGAAACCCGUACGUUGAAGGCGUAAUGAAAGUGAAUAGGGAAGAUGGCGUUCCGAGACCACGUACCGUGAUCGAGUAUCGCGGCCGGACGUCCGCACUCCCGGGGCGUCUCAAUGGUUCGCCACGGAUGCGGACGAUCGUCUUUCGGGACGGUGGUCGGUCUGUGGCGGUCCGA